rnacentral:siRNA from 1 species
UAUGACAAAUGUAACAAAUGUGCU